rnacentral:lncRNA from 1 species
UGAGAACACCUGUGUGGGUGGCUCAUUGGUGGGGGCUGUAAAUAUCUCACACAAUGGAAACUGUGAAAAGCGAAUGAGAACACUCCCCUCAGUUGGACUCGACUUCAUGCACAAAAAUGAGGACUUGUGUCUUGACGUAUUUAAACGUUACUACCUAAAGAGUCUCGAGUUUUUGAGGCAAAAUCCUGGAGAAAUUGUGAGAAAACCGCUAGGAAAAGCUGAGACACUUGAUGCUCACGUGGAUGGAUGAAGCCACUAGCCUGGAAGCUAUCGAUGAGCCCAGUGUGUGAAAGUCAUGACUGGAUUCAACCACUAGAGGGACCUGGGGCAAAAUGAAUUCUGGGCGCCUACUGACCUUAUGUUGGCAUGUGAAAGAUCCAGAUUAGGUAAUAAAUUAUUAAUUGCUCUUUAGCUGUUAGAUGUUAAAAAUAGUCACCAGUCACUAAAGUUGUCCGUCUGCUAUUUAGGCCGGCACAUGUGGAGUGCAGCGCAUUCAUCAGAGCUGUUCUGCCUACACACAGGUGCCGACUGCUGCUGGAAACUAGGUUGAUGAAAGCAGAACGUGCACGCCAGAAAACCCAAAGAAAAACCUCCAUAGUGCUCGUCUGACACAAGUCGGGUUCACAGCAAGCCACCAUUUUCUGGUGUGUCUCGUGUUAUUCAUUUGAUGCACUGUUAACAUAAAAGCAUUAAACGUUUACUUUGCCAUAUUAACCAUUUCUAACUUUUUAUUUUCUGAUUUUGAAUAAGCGGUGUUGAAGUGCUUUGUGGUGCAUUCCUCUCGACCUGACUUGAUGGACAUCUCCUCUAAAUGACAGUUUUGACUUGUUGUUGUCACUUGUAGGAACUCAAAAUGUUUAUGUGUAAAACGAUAUGCAGAAGAAAAUGAACAGUUUCGCCC